rnacentral:rRNA from 1 species
ACUACGGGUGGCAGCAGUGAGGAAUAUUGGUCAAUGGGCGCGAGCCUGAACCAGCCAAGUAGCGUGAAGGAUGACUGCCCUACGGGUUGUAAACUUCUUUUAUAAAGGCAUAAAGUGAGGCACGUGUUCCUUUUUGUAUGUACUUUAUGAAUAAGGAUCGGCUAACUCCAUUCCAGCAGCCGCGGUAAUACGGAGGAUCCGAGCGUUAUCCGUAUUUAUUGGGUUUAAAUGGAGCGUAGAAGGGUUGUCAAGUUAGUUGUGAAUGUUUGCGGAUCAACCGUAAAAUUGCAAUUGAUACUGGAAGUCUUGAGUACAGUUGAGGUAGGCGGAAUUCGUGGUGUAGCGGUGAAAUGCUUAGAGAUAACGAAGAACUCCGAUUGCGAAGGCAGCUUACUAAACUGCCACUAACAUUGAUGCUCGAAAGUGUGGGUAUCAAACAGGAUUAGAUACCCCAGUAGUC